rnacentral:rRNA from 1 species
GCGGAGGAAAAGAAACUAACAAGGAUUCCCCUAGUAACGGCGAGUGAAGAGGGAAGAGCCCAAGAUUGAAAGCUGGCGUCUUCGGCGUCCGCAUUGUAAUCUCAAGAAGUGUUUUCCGCUUCGGACCAUGCCUAAGUCCCUUGGAAAAGGGCAUCAUAGAGGGUGAUAAUCCCGUACAUGGCAUGGAGCGCCCGAAGCUUUGUGAUACGCUUUCUAAGAGUCGAGUUGUUUGGGAAUGCAGCUCAAAAUGGGUGGUAAAUGCCAUCUAAGGCUAAAUAUUGGGGAGAGACCGAUAGCGAACAAGUACAGUGAUGGAAAGAUGAAAAGAACUUUGAAAAGAGAGUUAAACAGUACGUGAAAUUGCCAAAAGGGAAGGGUAGGAGGUCAGAGAUGCGGCCUGGGAUUCAGCCUUGCUUUUGCUUGGUGUUUUUCCCAGAUUGCAGGCCAACGUCGGUUUUGGGCACUGGAGAAGGGUAGGAGGAACGUGGCACCUCUCGGGGUGUGUUAUAGCCUCCUACUGGAUACAGCGACCGAGACCGAGGACAGCAGCGUACUCGCAAGAGCGGGCCUUCGGGCACCUUUACGCUUAGGGCGUUGGCAUAAUGGCCCUCUACCACCCGUCUUGA